rnacentral:rRNA from 1 species
CCCUAUGGGGUGCAGCUGGAGUCAAGAUUGACUUUUUCGAUCGUGAUGAUGCCCAAAUUAUGCCGCAAUACGAAGAACUGGCAAAAGCCUGUGCCGAACGCAAGUUGCUGGUCGAUUUCCAUGGUUGUAGCAAACCCACUGGAUUAAACCGUGCAUACCCGAAUAUUCUUUCAUACGAAGCGGUACGUGGAAUGGAAUGUUCAAAAUGGGAUACUUCCACAAAUCCGGAUUAUCGCCUUCAGUUUAUUUUCAGCCGGAUGUCGGCAGGACCGAUUGAUUAUACACCCGGUUCCAUGCGAAAUUCCACGCUCGAGAAGUUUAAGCCUAUUGAUCCGGGAUUACCCAUGAGUCGCGGUACGCGUGGUCAGGAAUUGGCGGGGGGGC